rfam:Caldibacillus debilis strain B4135 NODE_10, whole genome shotgun sequence.
UCCGACGCGAGGCGAAAUCAGAAGGAAGACGGAGGCAAACACGCGGCCUGAGGGUCACGAACCCAAUCGGAGGCGGUCACAGCCGGACAAGUCUGUGAAACAAGACGAAGUCCCAUGCCUCCAAGGGCUGCGGCAGUAUUUUGGACCGGCGCAAGAGCGGGGAGUACGCACC